rnacentral:rRNA from 1 species
GUUUGGUUAAGUUAGAAAGGGCGCACGGUGGAUGCCUUGACACUAGGAGUCGAUGAAGGACGGGACUAACGCCGAUAUGCUUCGGGGAGCUGUAAGUAAGCUUUGAUCCGAAGAUUUCCGAAUGGGGAAACCCACCAUACGUAAUGGUAUGGUAUCCUUAUCUGAAUACAUAGGGUAAGGAAGACAGACCCAGGGAACUGAAACAUCUAAGUACCUGGAGGAAGAGAAAGCAAAUGCGAUUUCCUGAGUAGCGGCGAGCGAAACGGAACAUAGCCCAAACCAAGAGGCUUGCCUCUUGGGGUUGUAGGACAUUCUAUACGGAGUUACAAAGGAACGAGGUAGACGAAGCGACCUGGAAAGGUCCGUCGUAGAGGGUAACAACCCCGUAGUCGAAACUUCGUUCUCUCUUGAAUGUAUCCUGAGUACGGCGGAACACGUGAAAUUCCGUCGGAAUCUGGGAGGACCAUCUCCCAAGGCUAAAUACUCCCUAGUGAUCGAUAGUGAACCAGUACCGUGAGGGAAAGGUGAAAAGCACCCCGGAAGGGGAGUGAAAGAGAUCCUGAAACCGUGUGCCUACAAAUAGUCAGAGCCCGUUAACGGGUGAUGGCGUGCCUUUUGUAGAAUGAACCGGCGAGUUACGAUCCCGUGCGAGGUUAAGCUGAAGAGGCGGAGCCGCAGCGAAAGCGAGUCUGAAUAGGGCGUUUAGUACGUGGUCGUAGACCCGAAACCAGGUGAUCUACCCAUGUCCAGGGUGAAGUUCAGGUAACACUGAAUGGAGGCCCGAACCCACGCACGUUGAAAAGUGCGGGGAUGAGGUGUGGGUAGCGGAGAAAUUCCAAUCGAACCUGGAGAUAGCUGGUUCUCCCCGAAAUAGCUUUAGGGCUAGCCUUAAGUGUAAGAGUCUUGGAGGUAGAGCACUGAUUGGACUAGGGGUCCUCAUCGGAUUACCGAAUUCAGUCAAACUCCGAAUGCCAAUGACUUAUCCUUAGGAGUCAGACUGCGAGUGAUAAGAUCCGUAGUCAAAAGGGAAACAGCCCAGACCGCCAGCUAAGGUCCCAAAGUGUGUAUUAAGUGGAAAAGGAUGUGGAGUUGCUUAGACAACUAGGAUGUUGGCUUAGAAGCAGCCACCAUUUAAAGAGUGCGUAAUAGCUCACUAGUCGAGUGACUCUGCGCCGAAAAUGUACCGGGGCUAAAUACACCACCGAAGCUGCGGAUUGAUACCAAUGGUAUCAGUGGUAGGGGAGCGUUCUAAGGACAGUGAAGUCAGACCGUAAGGACUGGUGGAGUGCUUAGAAGUGAGAAUGCCGGUAUGAGUAGCGAAAGACGGGUGAGAAUCCCGUCCACCGAAUGCCUAAGGUUUCCUGAGGAAGGCUCGUCCGCUCAGGGUUAGUCAGGACCUAAGCCGAGGCCGACAGGCGUAGGCGAUGGACAACAGGUUGAUAUUCCUGUACCACCUCUUUAUCGUUUGAGCAAUGGAGGGACGCAGAAGGAUAGAAGAAGCGUGCGAUUGGUUGUGCACGUCCAAGCAGUUAGGCUGAUAAGUAGGCAAAUCCGCUUAUCG